rnacentral:rRNA from 1 species
GCCUACGGGGGGCAGCAGUAGGGAAUCUUCCACAAUGGGCGAAAGCCUGAUGGAGCAACGCCGCGUGGGUGAAGAAGGUCUUCGGAUCGUAAAACCCUGUUGUUAGAGAAGAAAGUGCGUGAGAGUAACUGUUCACGUUUCGACGGUAUCUAACCAGAAAGCCACGGCUAACUACGUGCCAGCAGCCGCGGUAAUACGUAGGUGGCGAGCGUUAUCCGGAUUUAUUGGGCGUAAAGGGAACGCAGGCGGUCUUUUAAGUCUGAUGUGAAAGCCUUCGGCUUCACCGGAGUAGUGCAUUGGAAACU